UACGAAGGGGGCUAGCGUUGCUCGGAAUCACUGGGCGUAAAGGGUGCGUAGGCGGGUCUUUAAGUCAGGGGUGAAAUCCUGGAGCUCAACUCCAGAACUGCCUUUGAUACUGAGGAUCUUGAGUUCGGGAGAGGUGAGUGGAACUGCGAGUGUAGAGGUGAAAUUCGUAGAUAUUGGGAAGAACACCAGUGGCGAAGGCGGCUACCUGGUCCGGAUCUGACGCUGAGGCGCGAAAGCGUGGGGAGCAAACAGG
rnacentral:rRNA from 1 species